GGACGAACGCUGGCGGCGCGCUUAACACAUGCAAGUCGAGCGAGAACCAGGGCUUCGGCCCUGGGGAAAGCGGCGAACGGGUGAGUAACACGUGAGUAACCUGUCCUCGGCACCGGGAUAGCCCGGGGAAACCGGAUUAAUACCGGAUGGCCUUUCGAGUCUUCGGGCUCGUCAGAAAAGGGAGCUUCGGCCUCCGGCCGAGGAGGGACUCGCGGCGGAUUAGCUUGUUGGUGGGGUAACGGCUCACCAAGGCGACGANCCGUAGCUGGUCUGAGAGGACGAUCAGCCACACUGGGACUGAGACACGGCCCAGACUCCUACGGGAGGCAGCAGUGGGGAAUCUUGCGCAAUGGGCGAAAGCCUGACGCAGCGACGCCGCGUGCGGGAAGAAGGCCUUC
rnacentral:rRNA from 1 species